rnacentral:miRNA from 2 species
CUGUGCGUGUGACAGCGGCUAC